rnacentral:tRNA from 1 species
GGGGCAUUAGCUUAAUGGAUAGAGUAGCAGCUUCCGACGCUGUUGAUCCGGGUUCGAUUCCCGGAUGCCUCACCA